AUUGAACGCUGGCGGCAGGCCUAACACAUGCAAGUCGGACGGUAGCACAGAGGAGCUUGCUCCUUGGGUGACGAGUGGCGGACGGGUGAGUAAUGUCUGGGGAUCUGCCCGAUAGAGGGGGAUAACCACUGGAAACGGUGGCUAAUACCGCAUAACGUCGCAAGACCAAAGAGGGGGACCUUCGGGCCUCUCACUAUCGGAUGAACCCAGAUGGGAUUAGCUAGUAGGCGGGGUAAUGGCCCACCUAGGCGACGAUCCCUAGCUGGUCUGAGAGGAUGACCAGCCACACUGGAACUGAGACACGGUCCAGACUCCUACGGGAGGCAGCAGUGGGGAAUAUCGCACAAUGGGCGCAAGCCUGAUGCAGCCAUGCCGCGUGUAUGAAGAAGGCCUUCGGGUUGUAAAGUACUUUCAGCGGGGAGGAAGGCGGUGAGGUUAAUAACCGCGUCGAUUGACGUUACCCGCAGAAGAAGCACCGGCUAACUCCGUGCCAGCCGCCGCAGUAA
rnacentral:rRNA from 1 species